CUGCUGCGUGUUGCCGUUCCUGAGGUCCUUCGCUGGCGGUGGCGGUAGCAGGGUGAGGCGCUGGCUAGAGCCAGAAGAGCUCGAAUGCCAUUUCCGUAGCCUUUUGCCAGUCUGGAGUGACUCUGAAGAUGAUGCUGUCCUGCUGUUAUACAGUUCUAAUAAUUGCAAGAGAUAGUGACUAACUGGAUGACGUGAAACAGACCUAGAGAAGCAGCAUGGGAAGCAGAGUCAGCACUUCUCUCAGAUUGGAAAUUGGAUCUAUCCCACAGGAAAAGGCAGUAUCCUGAUGCAAAGCCUUGUACAGUAAAAACUGGCCCGAUGCAGUACUAACAUCAAGGGAAUUACGUCAGAUAAAACUGGAUCCCAAAGCAGAGAACCUAAAAUAUAACCACAGGAGCUGGAAGCUACCACGUGAAAACUCUUAUUAACUACACUUACAUUGAAUUGGAGAGUACGACAAGAACAAUAUGGAGUGCAGAAGUGUGUUUUUUGCUCUGUAGAAUCUCUCAAUGUUUAAAUUAUUUUUGAUAUUUUCAUCUCUUAAUGCUAUGGACAAGAUAGACAUGAAAAAUAUAUAUGAGCAAAGUUAUGAUAAUCUUAAAUUAUGCAAAAUUGUUUUGAGUCUGAAGUAUUUUUGAAGCUAGUGAAAUACUCAGACCCAGUCUGAAAUUGUUCACAGAUUAUAUAUUUCUUAGGGCAGUCGAUUAAUCGCAGUUAACUCACGCGGUUAACUCAAAAAAA